rnacentral:rRNA from 1 species
GACGAACGCUGGCGGCGUGCUUAACACAUGCAAGUCGAACGGAAAGGCCCUGCUUUUGUGGGGUGCUCGAGUGGCGAACGGGUGAGUAACACGUGAGUAACCUGCCCUUGACUUUGGGAUAACUUCAGGAAACUGGGGCUAAUACCGGAUAUGAGCUCCUGCUGCAUGGUGGGGGUUGGAAAGUUUCGGCGGUUGUGGAUGGACUCGCGGCUUAUCAGCUUGUUGGUGGGGUAGUGGCUUACCAAGGCUUUGACGGGUAGCCGGCCUGAGAGGGUGACCGGCGACAUUGGGACUGAGAUACGGCCCAGACUCCUACGGGAGGCAGCAGUGGGGAAUAUUGCACAAUGGGCGGAAGCCUGAUGCAGCAACGCCGCGUGCGGGAUGACGGCCUUCGGGUUGUAAACAGAUUUCGACUGUGACGAAGAGGGAGUGACGGUAAUGGGUAAAGAAGCACCGGCUAACUACGUG